rnacentral:rRNA from 1 species
GAUGAACGCUGGCGGCGUGCCUAAUACAUGCAAGUCGAGCGAACGGACGAGAAGCUUGCUUCUCUGAUGUUAGCGGCGGACGGGUGAGUAACACGUGGAUAACCUACCUAUAAGACUGGGAUAACUUCGGGAAACCGGAGCUAAUACCGGAUGAUAUUUUGAACCGCAUGGUUCAAAAGUGAAAGACGGUCUUGCUGUCACUUAUAGAUGGAUCCGCGCUGCAUUAGCUAGUUGGUAAGGUAACGGCUUACCAAGGCAACGAUGCAUAGCCGACCUGAGAGGGGGAUCGGCCCCCCUGGAAUUGAGACCCGGCCCAGCCCCCUCCGGGGGGCCCCCGGGGGGACUUUUCCGCAAUGGGCGAAACCCUGCGGGACCAACCCCCCGGGAGUGAUGAAGUCUUUCGGUUCGUAAAACUCUUUUUUUAGGGAAGAACAUUUUUUUAAGUAACUGUCCCCCUCUUGCCGGUCCCUAAUCAAAAACCCCCGCCUACCUCCUU